AUGAAUACUACACAAUACAUAAAGGAGUGCUUGGCUCUGGUGCUGUCUGUGCUGGCAGAAGACGGGGCUAUUCCCAGUGAUUUCCUUUGCUUAAACUAUCCAGCUUUUUCUUUCUUCACGAGAAGUUGCAUUGCCGGAGUCAGACGGUGGAUGCUGCAGAACUUUUUUAAAGAACUACACAACAAGAUCAGCAAUGCGAGUUUAGGAGCAACCAGGCACGAAAGAGACCUUCCCAGAGCUAUGUACCGCUGCACGUCCGCGUGUACUACGCAGCUGGGAACUCCUGCCCAACUUCCUGACGAAAAACCUCCAGGUUUUAAAGUCGAGCACUUACCGGAGUGCUUUCUACGAGGUGUUUCAUCUAUAAUCCUGGAUCACAGUAUAUCACCAAGGAUACAUCAUGGAUCAUACUAUAUCACCAAACCCUGAAAUGCAAUUACCAUUGGAGCUGAAUGUGGCAGCAAAUAUAAUGGCUAACACUACACAGUAUGUUAGACAAAUAGACACCAGUGGACAGCUAUAAGGGGCAAACAUUCACCUUGACUUUACUACGGCAAUUUGUUUUAUUUUCUAUUUCCUUAGCUCCUGCUGGCUUUUGCUUAGUUGCUCCUCAGACAAAUACCUCUUCAGAAGUUGAAGCUGAUAAGAGCACAACUAACUAAAAGUAAAAUUUGAGUUAGGGCUUCGAUUUUGUCCAUGUGAAAUGUGUAUUGAGGUAAGUUUUGCUUAGGUUACCCAAGUGUUCAUUAUCCAUAUAAAGUAGCAUGUUCUAGUAUGCCUGGACUAGCCGCCCAUAUUUACUUGUAGCAGAACGUGACCUUAAUUCAGUUCUUACAGAAACCAGCGGGCCAGAAGCGAUCGGUUCUGCAUGUCGUUUAAGAGACACUGUUAUGCCACCUGGUUCCCCUGCAGACUGACAUUUUGCUGACCCUUGCCUAAAUCUAGGGAAUACCCCUCUGUCACCAGAAUCAUGGUUUCAAACUCCUUUUCUUUGACUCUCACUGGUGUGCCCUUGCAGCACCUCGCCGUCCCUGGUUCCCCACGUAGUCCAUUGCACCCAGGACAGCAAAGGCCGCAGCACCCCUCUUCAUAAAUACAGAUCCUGUCUCCAGCUGCUCUGUGACGAUUCGGCAACCAAAGCGCUUCCCUGCAGGGCACAGAAACCUCUUGCCACAGUUUUUAUUUGUGCUCGUGGUUAGGUGACUCUGGUCACCGUUAGGGGUUUCUGCAUCGUUCGGAGAGCUUUGGGCGGUGCGGGGGUACAGCAGCUUCGUGCAGUCUCUGGCAGGAUCAGACCAAAAUCUGUUUUACCAGGAUCCUUGAUCCUAAGUAUAUGGAUUUCCCCUCAGCUGUGUUUAUCCUUAGAUACAGAAGCAGAUACAUUUUUGUGGCUUGCUAAUACUCUCUCAUCCACUUCAAAGACCCAUUU
ensembl:lncRNA